rnacentral:lncRNA from 1 species
GUAAGUGGUUCCCCUGGCAACCAGCACAGCAACCGGUAACCAGGAAGGGCCCCUAGAGCCAGGAGGGACACGGACGCUGCUGGCCCUGGUGGCUCAGGUGCCGUUAGAGGGGCCUCUCCCGGCCUGUGGCUCCCUGCGGCCCCGCUCUGCUCGCCUCCUGUGCUCUGCGCCUGCUCUGCCCUGGGUCCAGCGAGCCUGCCGCCCCCUGGCUGGCGAUCCCAGUGGCCUGAGAGCGGGCAGGGUGUCGCCAGCUCCGGGUGUUUCCCUCGUGUGCGAGGAAACAUAUCCAGGACAAAGUGGACAAAGUGGGUCGCAGGAAGAAAGAGUGACAGGCCAGGGGGCCCUCUGGUAACAGGUGCAGGAGCAGGGAUUCCACGUCUUCCUUCCAUCCUGGUCCCUUUCCAUUCCGCCUCACCAUAGCGGAAAGGGUGGGGGGGUCUUCCCGGGGACCCCACCCUGGGUCAGUGGCAGGAGGAUGCGCCCACUGGGCUGGUGGCAGAGAUUCGGAAAUCCUGGGCAGGAAUGUAGCGCCUGAAUCUCCCUUUCGAGAGUCUAUUUCUUUUCUUUCCACAGCUUCUUCUACCCCGCCCCCCCCCCCACUAGGGAACUGAACCCAGGGCCUUUGCACGGGGCUGCAGCCCCAGGCUUUUUUGUGUCUUCAUUUUGAGAUGGGAGGGGUCUUACCAAGUCACCCAGGCUGGGAUCAAAUUUGUGAUCUUCCUGUCUCAGUCUCCCAGCGUGCUGGAAUCAUAGGUGUGGGCCAGCCACCACGUGUGGAUUAGUUUCCUUUUUAUUAAACAAAUAUUUGUUCUGCUCUAGUGUUCUCUGGAGACUGACUGUCCUUGGGGAAACCCCAGGACUCAGGAUGUGAGGUUCAGACUCAGGCUACUGGGCCCGAGGCAUCACCCGGAAGGGGGCAGUGGGAACCGGGCGCACGGGGGAGCUGAGAAGCCCCAGGGGCAGCGCCAGGCACCCCAGAGCCCAUUGCUCCCCGCCCCACUUAGCCGUGACGUCCCCUUAACCGUCAGCCCCACCCUCUUACCAGGCCUUGUAGUCAGGUAGUUUCCCCUGCUCAACAAAUCAUGGGCGCCACGGGCUGGAACGAGCCCUGAGCUAGGUCCCAACCAAAAUGGAGUCACUCGUGCUAAGUAAGCUCCCGGGCACCAAGCGAGGCCCAGGAGGUCCACAUGUGGAGAAGUCAGGAGCUCAGUGGCAGCCAGAUCCCAGGAAGGGCAGCGGCUUGGAACCGCCUUUUGCUCCCGCCGGCUGCUCCUCAGCCCUUUGCAACUGUGAAGCCGCGCUCUCAGCGGGUCUCGGGCUGUUGCAUACACUGGAUGCUGCCUGGUUCUUGCACUGCUACUGAAAGCGAAUGAGUUUCCCCGCGGGAUCCUGAGAUCAGCAGCACGGGACGACGGCGCCCCCUGGCGGCAGGUCGGAUCUCCGUAUGCUCUAGGCCUGGCCGGGCAGGCGGGCGGCGUGGGCCUCGCAGCGACGUGUUGGAAGGAACGCUGCUUCCAGGGUCAGGAGCCUGGGCGGGAAGCGCUAAGAUUGGUAGCUGUCAUCCCAGUACUCAGGAGGCCAAGGCAGGAGGAUGGAUGCAAAUUUAAGGCCAGUGCUAUGUAGCAGGUUCAAGGCCAGCCUGAACGACACAGCGAGACCCUGUUUCAAAACAAAAGCAAAAACAGAAACAGAUUUGGGACUGGCAGUUCCCAAGCCCUGGCCCUUCCUGUAGGAGGGGCUGGAGGAGGCUGGGAGGCUGGCGCAGGUGACCUGCUCCCCUGGGUCCUGCCUGUUCCUGCAGCAGAAGCGGUUCACAGGAUUCCCACACCGGAAGAGCCAACUUCAUCACCCCUACCUAGAAAGUUUGGUGGCUGCCACAUCCCAAGGGAGAAGGCCAGGGAGGAGAAAGUGACAGUGGCAGCCCCUCUAGCACACAGCUCCCAUGCCUAUGACCCUGCGGUCUGCACCUCUUCUGGCCUGACUUGCCGCCCCCCCACCCCCACCCCAUGACCCCAGGAGGAGGCCUGGGGCCUGGCCCAGUGUGAGCAGGGCUGGGCCAGCUGGGCAGACAGAGGAGAGGAACUCAGGUUGGAGACACCAGGCCUGGAGAGACCUUCUGUUGCCCACUCGUGUCUCCCCACUGAUUAAACCUCUUCUCGGAGUGUUCAGGGGAACCCAAGAAAGGGAAGGAAAGACAAGGGGCCCAGCCCUGGCUGAGGACCGCCAUGCGGCAGGACAGCACGGGGACCCUGCAGGUCCGUGUGCCCUCAGGGCCCGCUUGGCCGCUCCUGUGGGCUCUCGGGUGGGAGCAGGCAGCCGCAGGCAGGAUCGAGACAGCCCCUGCUGUCCUUCAUGUUCGUUUUGUGUUCAGGGAAACCCCAUGGCAUUCUGGUUCCUGUUUUGAUGGUUUUUAGAGCUUUUCUGAGGCACAGCUGAUACAGUCGCACUGCUUUUCAGUGUGGACCCUGGUGACUCAGUUCCCACACUCACAGGACUGAACUUAUGGAUCACCUCCAAGAAUUUCCCCGCAUAUGUGCGCGCGCAUGUGUGUGUGUACCCAUGCGUGUUUCCGUGUAAGAACACAACAGAUUUUAAACCGUUUAAAGGGGCACAGCCCUGUUGUCACCAACAGGCCCCAUGUUGUGCUGCUGCAGAUUUCUCCACCUCCCCAACUCCCGGCAGCCCCUGUCCUCGCCCCUGCCUCUGUGUGACCGACUCUUGGAUCCCCGUACAAGUGGCAUCGUGCGGUAAUUUAAUUGUCCUCUGCAUCUGGCUCAUGUCACUGAGCGGAAGGACCUCUAGGUUUUCCACUUUGUUGCGGUUGGCAGGAUCCCUUCUUUUUUAGGGAACGAUGCCCCCUUGUAUGUAUGCACCGCGCUUUCUUUAUCCAUUCAUCUGCUGCUGGACACGUGGGUCACGUCCAUAUCUUGCUUAUUGUGAAUAUGGAAAAAUACAGUUUCAGUACACGAAGACACACUGCAAUGUACUCUGUUGACAGAAGGGAUAGCUGUGGCCGGGGAUUUAGCUCAGUGGUUUCGCCGCCUGCUGCGCAAGCACAAGGACCCAAGUCCUGCCCGAGGACCCCUCUUCCACCGCCCCAGCUUCACGGGGGUCCUGUCCCCUCCCCGACACCGGGUUCCGGUUCAUACCGGUUCAUACCGGUUCAUACCACUUCACAGCAGAUUCUGCUCUGCUGGGGACUGGACACGACCUGCUUUCCUGGCUCUCUCUGCACCACCUCGAACCUCGUUGGUGGCCAGCACCAGCAGUUGUCCUGUGACUCUGUACCACCCUCGCUCUGAGCAGGGCCCUGGGCAUGGUCCGAGGAAGCGCCCUGCGGGUCUCGGGUCUUGGGAGCAAGCGCCUUCCUCACCUGCCCAUGAGUCUGAGGCGACGCCGCAGUGCAGCAGCUGGCGGCCUUCACUGUCGCCUCCACCUGG